UACGUAGGGUCCGAGCGUUGUCCGGAAUUAUUGGGCGUAAAGGGCUCGUAGGCGGUUUGUCGCGUCUGCUGUGAAAACCUAAGGCUCAACCUUGGGCUUGCAGUGGGUACGGGCAGACUAGAGUGCGGUAGGGGUGACUGGAAUUCCUGGUGUAGCGGUGGAAUGCGCAGAUAUCAGGAGGAACACCGAUGGCGAAGGCAGGUCACUGGGCCGCAACUGACGCUGAGGAGCGAAAGCAUGGGGAGCGAACAGG
rnacentral:rRNA from 1 species